CACAUCCUUAUUAAUGGUUCAAGAAUUUUAUGUAUAUGAGCACGCGAACUCUGUAGAGAGCCGACGAUUGGUCUUCAGUUCGGCGGUCUUUUACCCUAAAGUACUACUUUUUUACUUUGGUGACUUGAUCUCACCAAUAAUUGAGUCUCGGUCUCCUCUUCGUAAAUCAAAAUACCCAUCCUCAAAAAUGUUGAUAACUAGAAGUUUCCUUUGACUUUUCCACUUUCAAAUGUGGAAGAAGAACUUGAAGAAAGGAAAAGUCGAAGUCGAAGGAGAUGGGUUUCGGGAUGCUUUUCUUGAACUCUUAACAAAUAUCUUCACUGUGCUCUCUUCGCCUUCAUUCACUUUAAUUUACCCCUUGUUUGCUUCGAUUCGCAUUGUACAGACUAAUUCUUCCUU